AGCAGCCGCGGUAAUUCCAGCUCCAGUAGCGUAUAUUAAAGUUGUUGCAGUUAAAAAGCUCGUAGUUGAAUUUCGGGAUCAAUUUAUCGGUCGUGCCUCUGGUAUGCACUGGUAUUAUUGAUUUCUACCUUCUGACGAACCAUGAUGUCAUUAAUUUGGUGUCAUGGGGAAUCAGGACUGUUACUUUGAAAAAAUUAGAGUGUUUAAAGCAGGCACACGCUUGAAUACAUUAG
rnacentral:rRNA from 1 species